AUACGGAGGAUCCGAGCGUUAUCCGGAUUUAUUGGGUUUAAAGGGUGCGCAGGCGGCCAUUUAAGUCAGCGGUUAAAUCGUGGGGCUCAACCCCAUUCUGCCGUUGAUACUGGGUGGCUUGAUUGCGGUCGAGGUUGGCGGAAUUCGUUGUGUAGCGGUGAAAUGCACAGAUAUGACGAAGAACACCGAUUGCGUAGGCAGCUGACCAGACCGCAAAUGACGCUCAUGCACGAAAGUGCGGGGAUCGAACAGGAUUAGAUACCCUGGUAGUCCGCACAGUAAACGAUGAAUACUUGUUUUCGGCGAUAUAAUGUCGGAGGCAAAGCGAAAGCGAUAAGUAUUCCACCUGGGGAGUACGCCGGCAACGGUGAAACUUAAAGGAAUUGACGGGG
rnacentral:rRNA from 1 species